rnacentral:rRNA from 1 species
AACCGCGGUUAGACGGUUGGCUCAAGUUGAUACUAGUCGGCGUAAAGCGUGGUUAGGUAGCAAUUUUCACUAGGACUGAAUUUACCCCUUGUAGUCUAAAGCCUCCGGGGCAAGAAAACCAACAACGAAAGUAGUCUUACUUUAUCUGAUUCCACGAAAACUAGGAGA